rnacentral:rRNA from 1 species
AAGGAAACUAAACAAGGAUUCCCCUAGUAACUGCGAGUGAAGCGGGAAAAGCUCAAAUUUAAAAUCUGGCGGUCUUUGGCCGUCCGAGUUGUAGUCUGGAGAAGUGCUUUCCGCGCUGGACCGUGUAUAAGUCUCUUGGAACAGAGCGUCAUAGAGGGUGAGAAUCCCGUCUUUGACACGGACUACCAGUGCUUUGUGAUGCGCUCUCAAAGAGUCGAGUUGUUUGGGAAUGCAGCUCAAAAUGGGUGGUGAAUUCCAUCUAAAGCUAAAUAUUGGCGAGAGACCGAUAGCGAACAAGUACCGUGAGGGAAAGAUGAAAAGCACUUUGGAAAGAGAGUUAAACAGUACGUGAAAUUGCUGAAAGGGAAACGCUUGAAGUCAGUCGCGUUGUCCGGAACUCAGCCUUGCUUUUGCUUGGUGCACUUUCCGGAUGACGGGUCAGCAUCGAUUUUGACCGUCGGAAAAGGGCUGGAGUAAUGUGGCACCUCCGGGUGUGUUAUAGACUCUGGUCGCAUACGACGGUUGGGAUCGAGGAACGCAGCGCGCCGCAAGGCAGGGGUUCGCCCACUUUCGCGCUUAGGAUGCUGGCAUAAUGGCUUUAAACGACCCGUCUUGAAACACGGACCAAGGAGUCUAACAUACCUGCGAGUGUUUGGGUGGAAAACCCGAGCGCGUAAUGAAAGUGAAAGUUGAGAUCCCUGUCGUGGGGAGCACCGACGCCCGGACCUGACGUUCUCUGACGGAUCCGCGGUAGAGCAUGUAUGUUGGGACCCGAAAGAUGGUGAACUAUGCCUGAAUAGGGUGAAGCCAGAGGAAACUCUGGUGGAGGCUCGUAGCGAUUCUGACGUGCAAAUCGAUCGUCAAAUUUGGGUAUAGGGGCGAAAGACUAAUCGAACCAUCUAGUAGCUGGUUCUG